rnacentral:lncRNA from 1 species
CCUUCCUUGUUCCUACUUUUCCAUGAGGAGAAGCCAGCUGGAGCCCAUACUGUACCACUAUAUCAGUGCGUGAUAUCCUGGUACUGGUGAUUGUCCUGACCAUCCAUGAGAGAUCUACACGUCCUCUGAGCAUGCCAACAGGGACUACCUGGUCUUCUCCAGGGCAACCUUCUGGCUGAGUCAGUCUCCUGAGGCUAUCCCUAGCCUGAGGAGUGUCUGCACCUGCCUGGAUGGCUGAGGGAUGCACAGGGUCCACUGUAAUUGAUACCACAGUCUGCUUGGUGCCCAGGCACAGAGACCUAGAAAGCAAGAGGUCUGUGUUGAUGGCCUGAUCACACUGACAGGGGCUAGAUCUUGCCACACAGUGCAGCAGACUCUGUCUUUGGAGCAUUUGAAAUGACGGACACAGCCACUUAUCUCAUCAAGUGAAAGGACUGGUGAUGAGAAACCCCCUGGAUUGUCAGAUACUGAUUUAUCUCAAACAUCCCUUGAGAAGCUCUUUACUUGCUGAAGACACUGGCAAAAUUGUUGUAUGUAUUGGUCGAGCUUCUCAGUUGCAGACAACAGAAUACUCUCUAGGUAGUUUAAGCAGAGAGCAGUUUAGUACAGUUAUAGAGAGCUCACAAAAUCAUUGGAACUGCAGAAGAAACGCCCUCUAUGCUCAGUUACUGGAAACAAAUACCUGAACAAACCUUAGAACUGGUCCAGUAAAGAAACCUAUACCUGUGUCAUGGUUGGCAAGCUGCCAUCACUACCACCGCCCCCACUCCAACACAAACACACACACACACACUAGCCACCAGCACAAAGAGUGUUCUACCCCUUGCCUGGUCUCUCAUUUAACUCACUCCCCAGUCAAUGUCUCAGUCACACCUAACGAGAAGUCAUAUUGGAAGCUAGCAAUAGGGUUACUAGCCAUCCCAGCUGGUCUGGGACUGGGGGUUUCCCAUGUUGCAGGACUUUCAGUGCUAAAUCAGAAAAGCCCCAGGCAAAACAGGACAGAUUGGUCACCCUAGCUAGGAAAUGUAGUGUUUUUGGAGUAAGCACUGGGGAGGUAGGAGUCACACUGUGGGGAACUGUCAAAAUGUGAAGAGGAGGUCAGAUGAUUUGGGCCAG